UUCUUCCCCACGCCAUGUCGUAUUUAUAAAUUAUAAGUAACCUCUCUCACUCUCUCUCUCUCUCUCUCUGUCUCUCUCUCUCUCUCUCUCUCUCCAUUCCAUUCCCAUGGCUCGCUUCUUUAUCUCCAAGACCAGCACCUUCCUCCACCGCCACCACCCGCACCCUCCCAAACCCCUCUUCACUCUCUCCCUCCGCCACCGAUCCUCCCACUCAGCCAACAACAACGGCACCCUCAUGGAGCUCGACCUCCUCUCCACCUCCUCCUCCUCCAAUGCCGCUGCUGACUACGACGUUACCAUGAGGAUGUUCGACGACCUAAUCCACCGAAUCCUCGUCAGGAAGGCCACACCCGAUUGGCUCCCUUUCGUUCCCGGCUCCUCUUUCUGGGUCCCACCGCGUCCAGCUCCCUCAAAUGUCGUCGAUUUGGUGCAUAAGUUAACCACCGAGGAACUCUCCGCAGAGGAGUCUCUCUCCCUCGCCACCCACCACGCUUGGCCCUCCUCCACCUUCUUCACCGAUGAGAACAAUCAAGCAGAUGGUGGAGAUACUGAUGUGGAAUUAAAUAAACCAGAAGGGAUGGAGGGAAUGGUGAAAGUGAAAGUUCUGACAAUCUCAGAUACUGUGGCUCAUGAAGAUGAGGAAGGAUGAACCAGUACCUUAGCCAAACAAGUUGCUGUGAUUAUCAGUUGGCUUGUUGUUGUGUUGUGAUCGUCAAUCAACCAUACGAAUGCGGUUUGAUAAGUUCUCGGGAAGACCAUUUCUAGCAGAUUUGCAUCAGGAUUUUGCAGGGUUUUCAUGGUGCAACCUACCUCAUUCAAAAGAAGAAAAAAGAGAGUAACUGAAAAUAAAUAAAAUGCUCUUUUGGAGAUUGAGAAGGCCAUGCACUCAAAUGGAAAUUCGUAUGAGAUACAGUACUGUUUAUUCGGGAUUAGCCCUUCCUUCGCUACGGGAAAAUUCUUUUAUAGGUACAAGUCCAUCGCGUCAUAUUUGGACACACUCGCAUGGGAGUGUAUCUUGAAUAAAGUUAGUGGGACUCACCUUUGUUGCGAGUGUUUAAAGAUGGGGGUGUUCAUUUUGUGCCUAUGGAAGAAUCUUUCCUAAUAUAUCCUUGCUUUACUUGGUAUUAGAGACUCAGCAUUGAUCUGUUUUAACCAGCAUAGCCUGAAUAUAUUACCAAUGUUGUAACCUUGAAUCAUUUGUAAGGUAGGAAUGUAUGUAUUUAUUUAGCUAAUGAAGCAAAAGAUUCUUUCA